AAGGUGGUUCCUCGGACGAUGAACCCGCUUCGGUGGGGGAUUAGUGGCGAACGGGUGAGUAACACGUGGGCAAUCUGCCCUGCACUCUGGGACAAGCCCUGGAAACGGGGUCUAAUACCGGAUAUGACACGGGAUCGCAUGGUCUCCGUGUGGAAAGCUCCGGCGGUGCAGGAUGAGCCCGCGGCCUAUCAGCUUGUUGGUGGGGUGAUGGCCUACCAAGGCGACGACGGGUAGCCGGCCUGAGAGGGCGACCGGCCACACUGGGACUGAGACACGGCCCAGACUCCUACGGGAGGCAGCAGUGGGGAAUAUUGCACAAUGGGCGCAAGCCUGAUGCAGCGACGCCGCGUGAGGGAUGACGGCCUUCGGGUUGUAAACCUCUUUCAGCAGGGAAGAAGCGCAAGUGACGGUACCUGCAGAAGAAGCACCGGCUAACUACGUGCCAGCAGCCGCGGUAAUACGUAGGGUGCGAGCGUUGUCCGGAAUUAUUGGGCGUAAAGAGCUCGUAGGCGGCCUGUCGCGUCGGAUGUGAAAGCCCGGGGCUUAACCCCGGGUCUGCAUUCGAUACGGGCAGGCUAGAGUUCGGUAGGGGAGAUCGGAAUUCCUGGUGUAGCGGUGAAAUGCGCAGAUAUCAGGAGGAACACCGGUGGCGAAGGCGGAUCUCUGGGCCGAUACUGACGCUGAGGAGCGAAAGCGUGGGGAGCGAACAGGAUUAGAUACCCUGGUAGUCCACGCCGUAAACGUUGGGAACUAGGUGUGGGCGACAUUCCACGUCGUCCGUGCCGCAGCUAACGCAUUAAGUUCCCCGCCUGGGAGUACGGCCGCAAGGCUAAACUCAAAGGAAUUGACGGGGGCCCGCACAAGCGGCGGAGCAUGUGGCUUAUUCGACGCAACGCGAAGACCCUUACCAAGGCUUGACAUACACCGGAAACGGCCAGAGAUG
rnacentral:rRNA from 1 species